rnacentral:rRNA from 1 species
CCUACGGGAGGCAGCAGUAGGGAAUAUUGCUCAAUGGGGGAAACCCUGAAGCAGCAACGCCGCGUGGAGGAUGAAGGUUUUCGGAUUGUAAACUCCUUUUGUUAGAGAAGAGAAUGACGGUAUCUAACGAAUAAGCACCGGCUAACUCCGUGCCAGCAGCCGCGGUAAUACGGAGGGCGCAAGCGUUAUUCGGAAUCACUGGGCGUAAAGAGGGCGUAGGCGGGAUAGCAAGUCAGAUGUGAAAUCCUAUGGCUUAACCAUAGAACUGCAUUUGAAACUGUUAUUCUAGAGUAUGGGAGAGGUAGGUGGAAUUCUUGGUGUAGGGGUGAAAUCCGUAGAGAUCAAGAGGAAUACUCAUUGCGAAGGCGACCUGCUAGAACAUAACUGACGCUGAUGCGCGAAAGCGUGGGGAGCAAACAGGAUUAGAUACCCUUGUAGUC